rnacentral:rRNA from 1 species
AACGAACGCUGGCGGCAUGCCUAACACAUGCAAGUCGAACGAAGGCUUCGGCCUUAGUGGCGCACGGGUGCGUAACGCGUGGGAAUCUACCCAGAGGUUCGGAAUAACUCAGGGAAACUUGAGCUAAUACCGGAUAAUGUCGCAAGACCAAAGAUUUAUCGCCUUUGGAUGAGCCCGCGUAAGAUUAGCUAGUUGGUGGGAAGG